UCUGGCCUCGGCUCGAUAUAUGCUCAAGCUGCGGCCUCGGGUUUGGUGGCCACAGAUCCCGUGUCCUUUCGCCAGAGCUGGCUCUCUGGGAGGCAGCAGCAGCCCGCGGCCUGACGUGCUACAGGUGUCCCCGCACCGCUCCUGAACCAGAGCGGGAGCCUCUGGUCCGUGCCAGCCCGGAGGGUCUCGGUCUGGUGCGGCUCCCCGUUUCCCCUCAGGUUACAUCUGCUGUGGGCAAGGCAUACCUGUCACAGAUGUCAGGCCUGCUGGCGUGGGUUUGCAGUAUAUCACAGCUUUGCCUAUGUGGUAUAGAACCAGUGAAGAAAACUAUGAACUCUUCACUUCCAGAAAACCUAUAUUUCUAGAAUAUGAAGGAACUUCAUUUAUUGAGUGGGAAUUUCCUGAUGUAUGUACUGCAGAAGAUAAAAGACCUAUCUGCAUCCCUUAUCUUCUCUGGGGACAAAAGGCAGCUGCUUAUAUACAGCUGCAGAAGAACUCAGCUUUCUCACAGUAGUUUUGUAAUGACUAUUGAGUGCUUUUAUACCAAAUUCUGUAGUAUGAUUAAAGAUUAAAAAACGUAUGGGACAAUCUUAACAGAUUUUAAUCUUAUGUUAAAUGAGAGAUAAGAAA